CUCCUAUCUUCAUUCCCUGUUGGCCAACAGUGUUUUAUUCACCAACCGAUAAGAUAGACGUAUUUACAGAAUGACAUCUCCCAUCAAAGUGAGAAUUCACCCUUCCUGGGAAACAGCUUCUACUUGCUUGCAGGCAGCAGAGGGGAGUGAUUCCGCCCCAAGCUCCAACCGGUCCGCCGGCCCCUCACAUCUCACGGCCAGUGGUGGAUCGUAUUAAUGGAGGUUGCGGUGGUAAUAUUGCCAGAACAGGCAGACUCCAGGUGGACCUUGGACAGCGACCAGGACAGCGUACGGGUGAGACUGCCUGGUUCCUGCGACAUCAUGUGAAGAUGAGCAGUUCAAGACCAUCCUACCCACAGCUCUGGGUGCCUCACACCUGAAGCCAAGGGAUGGCAGGCAUGUACCACCACAAACUGUUUUAUAUGAUGAUGGAGUCAAACCCUGAGCCUCGUGCACAUCUGGCAGGCAACAUACCAGCUGGACUACAGCCCAGCCCUGGACCUCCUAAUGCUAAGCUACCCCUUGGGACCAGCCAGCAUCUCUGAAUCAGUUGUCAUCAGCACAGAUGGAGAAGGGGAACAGGCAUUAUCCUGAAGACUUCCCAGCCUCCGUGAGCUAGAGGGCAUCUCAGGCAGAGGACCACCCAAGGACACAUCUAACAACGAUCCAUGUGGCCACGCUGGAGCUGGAGACUUUCUUCCAAUAAAAAGUUUGUCAAAGAUA